UACAGAGGUCUCAAGCGUUGUUCGGAUUCAUUGGGCGUAAAGGGUGCGUAGGUGGCAGGGUAAGUCUGGUGUGAAAUCUCGGGGCUCAACCCCGAAACUGCACUGGAUACUGCCUUGCUCGAGUACUGGAGAGGAGAUUGGAAUUUACGGUGUAGCAGUGAAAUGCGUAGAUAUCGUAAGGAAGACCAGUGGCGAAAGCGAAUCUCUGGACAGUUACUGACACUGAGGCACGAAGGCCAGGGGAGCAAACGGG
rnacentral:rRNA from 1 species